ensembl:lincRNA
GACAAAGGUUCUUUUUUCUUUGAUCGAUCAUAAACAUAACAUUUACUUGUCCUAUAGGUAAAUAUUUACCGCUUAGUUACAAAAGGGACUGUGGAAGAAGAGAUCAUAGAACGAGCCAAAAAGAAAAUGGUAUUGGACCACCUGGUGAUUCAGCGCAUGGAUACCACUGGCCGAACAGUCCUUGAAAACAACUCUGGAAGAUCCAAUUCAAAUCCUUUUAAUAAAGAAGAGCUGACAGCUAUUUUGAAAUUUGGAGCAGAAGAUCUCUUCAAAGAACUUGAAGGCGAGGAGUCAGAGCCUCAGGAAAUGGAUAUAGAUGAGAUUUUGCGUUUGGCUGAAACUAGAGAAAAUGAAGUGUCAACAAGCGCCACUGAUGAGCUUCUGUCACAGUUUAAGGUUGCCAACUUUGCUACAAUGGAAGAUGAAGAAGAGCUAGAAGAGCGUCCUCACAAGGAUUGGGAUGAGAUCAUUCCAGAGGAGCAAAGGAAAAAAGUAGAGGAGGAGGAGCGGCAGAAGGAGCUAGAAGAAAUUUAUAUGCUUCCUCGAAUUCGUAGUUCCACUAAGAAGGCUCAGACAAAUGAUAGUGAUUCUGACACGGAGUCUAAGAGGCAAGCCCAGAGAUCCUCGGCUUCUGAGAGUGAGACCGAAGACUCUGACGAUGACAAAAAGCCAAAGCGCAGAGGUCGCCCUCGGAGUGUGCGCAAAGACCUGGUGGAGGGCUUCACGGAUGCGGAGAUCCGCAGGUUCAUCAAGGCUUAUAAGAAAUUUGGUCUCCCUCUUGAACGGCUGGAGUGCAUAGCCCGUGAUGCUGAGCUGGUGGAUAAGUCUGUGGCAGACCUGAAGCGCCUGGGUGAGCUGAUUCACAACAGCUGUGUGUCUGCAAUGCAGGAAUAUGAAGAACAGCUGAAAGAAAAUGCUAGUGAGGGUAAGGCAGCGAGUUCCCUUCUGUGAUUCUUAAAAGGUCAGGUGCUGUGCACUGGGUUUUCUUUGCAGAAAGGCCUUCUUUUUUGUGUGUAUGGGGGUGUCUUUUUGAGUCAGGGUCUCCCUGUGCAGUUCAGGCUGGUCUCGCACUUGCAAUGAUCCUCCUGCCUCAGCCUCCUGAAUGCUGAGAUUAUAGGUAUGUGCCACCACGCCUGGCUGCUGAAAGGUUUUUGAAGACAUACUUCUGCUGUACUCUACACAUGGCUCAUGCUUUGAGAUGUGUAUGUUGAGCUGCCUUUCUGUGGUCUGAGACGCCACAGACCAGCUACCCAUAAAUGAAAUGGAUUUGUGGAGAGUAUAGAUGAAUGAACAAAAUGAAAUGAUUUUUGUGAGGAUUUGUAUAGAAAUUGUUAAUUAUUUGGAUAUAGAUACAGUACUGUUAAAUUGUGUCAAAUGUAAAUAAUUCAGAAAUAACUGAAAUGAAAUAUUGUAUGGAUAGUGUAAACUUUUUGUUUUUUUCAAAGAUAAAAAUACAAAAAGAAAAAAAAACUGCAACAAAAUUUCAAAGCACGUGAGUUGGGAUACAUUGUGCAUUGUCAUCCCAAAUCAUCCAGAGCAUGAGAAAUUUGCAUUCUAUUGUCCAAACAAUACCAGUACAAAUCUUUCCCUUCAGCGACCUCAGAAAUCAGUACUAUAAGUAUCUUAACUGUCUUUUAUAUACAUAUACAUAUGUUGUUUCAGCUUUUCACACUAAUGAAACAUACGAUAUGUAAAUAUUAUUACAUUGAGAUUUUUAUACCACUGAGUUGGUUGUAUCUGGAUUGUAUAUGUGAUACGUUUCCUCUUGGAUACCAGAGAGUGGCUUUGCCUUGUCUGUGUGGUAGCUUAAAGGAAGAGAUGUAGGGAGGCUUGUAAUGAGAGAGCUCAGAAGUUAUCUUGAAGUGAAACUAGUUUCCCAGGCUGUGGUUUCUAUGUGCCAUUUCCCCCAUUCUUGGGCUAGGUGAGCAAGGCCGCCCUUCCGAGGCUUUGUUGGUGCUCAGGCCCUAGUAGCAGCCAGUUUCCUGGAAUUUUGGACUUGCUUUUUCUUAGUUACAAGAUCUUGGACAAGUUUUACCCUCACAUCUAUGUCAUGUACACAGUGGUGUAAUAGUAAGCUAAGGGUUUGGAUGAUUAAUUCAAUAAUACUAUAUUGUAUCUGACUUAAUAGUUCAGAUAUUAUUAAGAAAUGAGUAUUCAUGCUUGGGAUUUUAUAAGGAUAUUUUUGAAAUUAAUAGAAUUUAAAAAUAUUUCAGACAUAAUAGCAGCUUUUUUAAGGUAAAGUGAAAAACUUCUUAAAGCUUGCUUUUUGUAAAAGAAGUUUAUUUAUUUAUUUUGGUACGGGAGAUCCAACUCAUGUCCUCACGCUUGCCAGAUAGGCACUUACACCACUGAGCUAAAUCCCUGGCCCCUAUAAAAGAAAUUUAAAUAGCUUGCAUAGUUUGGAC